CACAGACUCUCGGUAGCUCCCCUCAAACGAGCUAAGAGGGAUAACUUGGUCGGGACGCCCUGCUGGCCGCCCAGUCCUGGACUUCUUCGCUGCCGCCUCGCAAAGCAUUCUCUCGAGCCGGCGGACUCGGGAGGCGAGUCCGAGUGCAACCCGGGGAGCUCAAGCCCUGGUCCUAUGGCACUCCUGGGGAACCGAACCCGGGUCCUAGUGCAGUCCUGGGGAACCGAGACCAUGUUCUAGUGCAGUCCUGGGAGCCCGAGUUCCGAGCCGAGUGCGAACCAGAAAAAUGUGAGCUCCCGAAGUUCUGCACUGAAGCACGAUGUCUAAUCUGGCCCCAUCCUGACUUCUGCUGGAACCAAUGGACAUUGUUUUCCUGAAGAUAGAAGCCGGCUUCCUCAUUGGGUGUUCAGCAGAUGGGACGCACCAAACAGAAGACAGUAGCUCCCUGGGCUCAC
rnacentral:lncRNA from 1 species